rnacentral:rRNA from 1 species
GUCGUGCCAAGAAAAGCCAUGACGGUACAAUACGUACAACCGUACCGCAAACCGACACAGGUAGGCAGGUAGAGGAUACCAAGGUGUUCGAGAUAACUCUCGUUAAGGAACUAGGCAAUCUAACCCCGUAACUUCGGGAGAAGGGGUGCCAGAGCAAUCUGGCCGCAGUGAAAUGGCCCGAGCGACUGUUUACCAAAAACACAGGUCUGUGCAAAAGCGAAAGCUGACGUAUACGGGCUGACGCCUGCCCAAUGCCAGAAUGUUAACAGGAGAUGUCAGCGCAAGCGAA